rnacentral:rRNA from 1 species
UACGUAGGGGGCAAGCGUUGUCCGGAAUCACUGGGCGUAAAGAGCACGUAGGCGGUAUGUUAAGUUAGGUGUGAAAGUUUGCAGCUUAACUGUAAAAGUGCAUCUAAAACUGGCAUACUUGAGUCUCGGAGAGGUAAGCGGAAUUCCUAGUGUAGCGGUGAAAUGCGUAGAGAUUAGGAAGAACACCGGUGGCGAAGGCGGCUUACUGGACGAGUACUGACGCUCAGGUGCGAAAGCGUGGGGAGCAAACAGG